GCAGCCGCGGUAAUACGGAGGAUUCGAGCGUUAUCCGGAUUUAUUGGGUUUAAAGGGUGCGUAGGCGGUUAAAUAAGUUUGAGGUUAAAUGCAUUAGCUCAACUAAUGUUUGCCUUGAAAACUGUUUGACUAGGAUGUAAACGGCGCAGGCGGAAUGAAUCAUGUAGCGGUGACAUGCAUAGAUAUGAUUCAGAACACCGAUCGCGAAGGCAGCUUGCGAGGAUACGAUUGACGCUGAAGCACGAAAGCGUGGGUAUCGAACAGGAUUAGAUACCCC
rnacentral:rRNA from 1 species